GAUGAACGCUGGCGGCGUGCCUAAUACAUGCAAGUCGAACGAAGCCUUCGGGCUUAGUGGCGAACGGGUGAGUAACACGUUGGUACCUACCCUCUAGUGGGGAAUAACUGGCCGAAAGGUCGGCUCAUACCGCAUAAUACCGCAAGGUUAAAGCAGCAAUGCGCUAGAGGAGGGGCCUGCGUCCCAUUAGCUUGUUGGUAGUGUAAUGGACUAACAAGGCGACGAUGGGUAGCUGGAUCGAGAGGUUGACCAGCCACACUGGGACUGAGAUACGGCCCAGACUCCUACGGGAGGCAGCAGUAAGGAAUCUUCCACAAUGGACGAAAGUCUGAUGGAGCAACGCCGCGUGCAGGAUGACGGCCUUCGGGUUGUAAACUGCUUUUAUAUGGGAAGAUUAUGACGGUACCAUAUGAAUAAGGACCGGCUAACUACGUGCCAGCCGCCGCAGUAA
rnacentral:rRNA from 1 species